rnacentral:rRNA from 1 species
AGAGUUUGAUCAUGGCUCAGAUUGAACGCUGGCGGCAGGCCUAACACAUGCAAGUCGAACGGUAACAGAAAGCAGCUUGCUGCUUUGCUGACGAGUGGCGGACGGGUGAGUAAUGUCUGGGAAACUGCCCGAUGGAGGGGGAUAACUACUGGAAACGGUAGCUAAUACCGCAUAACGUCGCAAGACCAAAGAGGGGGACCUUCGGGCCUCUUGCCAUCGGAUGUGCCCAGAUGGGAUUAGCUAGUAGGUGGGGUAAAGGCUCACCUAGGCGACGAUCCCUAGCUGGUCUGAGAGGAUGACCAGCCACACUGGAACUGAGACACGGUCCAGACUCCUACGGGAGGCAGCAGUGGGGAAUAUUGCACAAUGGGCGCAAGCCUGAUGCAGCCAUGCCGCGUGUAUGAAGAAGGCCUUCGGGUUGUAAAGUACUUUCAGCGGGGAGGAAGGGAGUAAAGUUAAUACCUUUGCUCAUUGACGUUACCCGCAGAAGAAGCACCGGCUAACUCCGUGCCAGCAGCCGCGGUAAUACGGAGGGUGCAAGCGUUAAUCGGAAUUACUGGGCGUAAAGCGCACGCAGGCGGUUUGUUAAGUCAGAUGUGAAAUCCCCGGGCUCAACCUGGGAACUGCAUCUGAUACUGGCAAGCUUGAGUCUCGUAGAGGGGGGUAGAAUUCCAGGUGUAGCGGUGAAAUGCGUAGAGAUCUGGAGGAAUACCGGUGGCGAAGGCGGCCCCCUGGACGAAGACUGACGCUCAGGUGCGAAAGCGUGGGGGAGCAAACAGGAUUAGAUACCCUGGUAGUCC